rnacentral:rRNA from 1 species
UCUGGUUGAUCCUGCCAGUAGUCAUAUGCUUGUCUCAAAGAUUAAGCCAUGCAUGUCUAAGUAUAAAUAGUAUACAGUGAAACUGCGAAUGGCUCAUUAAAACAGUUAUAGUUUAUUUGAUAAUUGACAAUUACAUGGAUAACCGUGGUAAUUCUAGAGCUAAUACAUGCUUAAACGCCCGACUUUAUGGAAGGGUGGUAUUUAUUAGACUGAAGCCAAUAUUCCUUGUGUCUAUUGCGGUGAUUCAUAAUAACUGAUCGAAUCUCUUUUUGAGAUAAAUCAUUCAAGUUUCUGCCCUAUCAGCUUUCGAUGGUAGUGUAUUGGACUACCAUGGCAGUAACGGGUAACGAAGAAUUAGGGUUCGAUUUCGGAGAGGGAGCAUGAGAAACGGCUACCACAUCUAAGGAAGGCAGCAGGCGCGUAAAUUACCCAAUCCUGACUCAGGGAGGUAGUGACAAGAAAUAGCAAACCGGGAACCUCAUGGUUUCACGGUAUUGCAAUGAGAACAAUUUAAAACCCUUAGCGAGAAUCAAGUGGAGGACAAGUCUGGUGCCAGCACCCGCGGUAAUUCCAGCUCCACUAGCGUAUAUUAAAGUUGUUGCAGUUAAAAAGCUCGUAGUUGAACCUCUGUCUGGGGCUAGUUUUGGCUUUGGUCAGGCUAGUUCUAGGCAUCCGCCUACAAGACUUAGAAGGCAUUCAGUUGUUCACUAGGAGGAGUAGGCAUUUUACUUUGAAAAAAUUAGAGUGUUUAAGGCAGGCAAUCGCCCGCAUAUAUUAGCAUGGAAUAAUAGAAUAGGACACUUUUCCAUUUCGUUGGUUAUUGGAAUCGUGUAAUGAUUAAUAGGGACAGUUGUGGGCAUUUGUAUUUAAUUGUCAGAGGUGAAAUUCUUGGAUUUAUUAAAGACAAACUAACGCGAAAGCAUUUGCCAAGGAUGUUUUCAUUAAUCAAGAACGAAAGUUAGGGGAUCAAAGACGAUCAGAUACCGUCCUAGUCUUAACUAUAAACUAUUCCGACUCAAUGUUUGACUGGCUUAUAUAACCAGUUGAGCGUUGUAUGAGAAAUCAAAGUCUUUAGGUUCUGGGGGGAGUAUGGUUGCAAAGCUGAAACUUAAAGGAAUUGACGGAAGAGCACAACCAGGAGUGGAUUCUGCGGCUUAAUUUGACUCAACACGGGGAAACUUACCGGGUUAAAACAAUAGUGGGAUUGACAGUUUGAGAGCGCUUUCUUGAUUGGUUGGGUGGUGGUGCAUGGCCGUUCUUAGUUGGUGGAGUGAUUUGUCUGCUUAAUUGCGUUAACGAACGAGACCUUAACCUGCUUACUAGACUGGCGAUCAUCAAUCGUUAGCUC